GAGGGUAUAGCUCACUAGUAGAGUGUGUGCCUAGAAUGUUCAAGGUCCUGGGUUCAAUGCCCAUUGCCUCCA
rnacentral:tRNA from 1 species